UCCCAGUUCGGAUUGUAGGCUGCAACUCGCCUACAUGAAGUCGGAGUUGCUAGUAAUCGCGGAUCAGAAUGCCGCGGUGAAUGCGUUCCCGGGUCUUGUACACACCGCCCGUCACACCAUGGAAGUUGGGGCGCCCGAAGUUGCCUAAGAAAUAAGGUACCUAAGGCGAAACCAAUGACUGGGGUGAAGUCGUAACAAGGUAUC
rnacentral:rRNA from 1 species